rnacentral:rRNA from 1 species
AUUGAACGCUGGCGGCAGGCCUAACACAUGCAAGUCGAGCGGAUGAAGGGAGCUUGCUCCUGGAUUUAGCGGCGGACGGGUGAGUAAUGCCUAGGAAUCUGCCUGGUAGUGGGGGAUAACGUCCGGAAACGGGCGCUAAUACCGCAUACGUCCUGAGGGAGAAAGUGGGGGAUCUUCGGACCUCACGCUAUCAGAUGAGCCUAGGUCGGAUUAGCUAGUUGGUGGGGUAAAGGCCUACCAAGGCGACGAUCCGUAACUGGUCUGAGAGGAUGAUCAGUCACACUGGAACUGAGACACGGUCCAGACUCCUACGGGAGGCAGCAGUGGGGAAUAUUGGACAAUGGGCGAAAGCCUGAUCCAGCCAUGCCGCGUGUGUGAAGAAGGUCUUCGGAUUGUAAAGCACUUUAAGUUGGGAGGAAGGGCAGUAAGUUAAUACCUUGCCGUUUUGACGUUACCAACAGAAUAAGCACCGGCUAACUUCGUG